GACCGUGCGGCGUUUCCCCUGCAAGUGUGCCAACUCCGACUGCACGUUUCCAGAUGCUGUUGUUUGCUGUGGUUUUUUUCACUCUACCUGGCCAGGGAGCUGAACGGCUUGCCUCUCUCAGAAGCUCUGGUCAGCAAUAUUCAGCUGUUUUGUGUGCCAGGUAAAAGGAGCAUCUGGGAGAUUGCUCACCCUGGGGUCAGCAUUCUGGAGAACUCUAGGAUCCCAAGCUCAGCACCUGUACUUUAUGCUUAAGAGCCAAAAAAAAUUGAGGAAAAAGUUGAACGGGCCAAGAUAGGACAGCAGGCAAUAAGCCGAAAGCAGAUUUAAUAAAAGAUAUUAUUCCUUUCUACUAUGUUCUUCUCAGUUAUUUCAUGGGAAUUGCCACUGGGAGCCCAUGGGGCCAAACUGGGACAUGGCCAAGCACAGGCUCAGUGAGGCUGAGGUUUUCUAAGACUGACUCCUGGGCUGUUGGCAGAAAACAGAAGGAGUUGAUACCUCUCCUGAGGUUCUGCAGCCCUGGGACUUUCUGCAGCAGUGGGGGACAGCAGGCUACAAAGUGUGAUGUCUGAGUACAGAGACAUCCAUUCUAAUUGUAAGGUACCAUCUGUUUGCUGCUACCUUGGACAAUUUUUCUCUCUGGACUUCAGUAUUUCCAUCUAUAUGCAGAGGAGCCUCCUGUGGCUAAGGCAUCCUUCAGUUUUACACAUUCAUGAUACCCACUGUGGAGGCGAACAACAGAAUAAUAUGGGAAAGUCAGCAUCCAGUUGGGAGCCCUAAAUCCUGGGCUCUCAUCCACCAUAGCCUUUACUACCUUCUGGUUGUAUAAUUUUACCCAAGUUUUCUGCCUCCUGAGCAUCAGUUUCCCCAAAAGAAGGAGCUAAGCAAACUUACCAAGCUCCAUUUGAUGUUCUGGGAUCCCUUUUCACUCUAGCCCCUUGUUUUAUAGGGUAUAUUCAGGCUGUGCCCUGUA
rnacentral:lncRNA from 1 species